rnacentral:rRNA from 1 species
CCUACGGGUGGCAGCAGUGGGGAAUAUUGGGCAAUGGGCGCAAGCCUGACCCAGCGACGCCGCGUGAGGGAAGACGGUCUUCGGAUUGGAAACCUCUUUCAGCAGGGAAGACAAAAGGACGGUACCUGCAGAAGAAGCCACGGCUAACUACGGGCCAGCAGCCGCGGCAAUACGUAGGUGGCAAGCGUUAUCCGGAAUUACUGGGUGUAAGGGGUGUGUAGGUGGGUGUGCAAGUCAGAUGGGAAAAUUAUGGGCUCAACCGAAAAACGGCGUCGGAGACUAGGGAUCUUGAGUGUGGGGGAGGCAGGCGGAAGGCGUGGUGUAGAGGUGAAAUGCAUAGAUAUCGCGAAGAACCCCGAUGGCGAAGGCAGUCUACUAAACCGCCACUGACACUGAGGCACGAAAGGGUGGGGAUCAAACAGGAUUAGAUACCCUAGUAGUC